GCAUGCGCAAUGGCCGACCCCUAUUAGGUUCACCUGUGCCCGUCAAAAUGUUUGCCAAAGAGAAACCGGAUAAGGUAAACCCUCUACCAUGCCCCUAAAGUCCCCAAAAGACAAUAGCGCGUUGCUGUUGCACCAGAAGAAACUUUAAAGACAGAGGUGGAUGCAAAAAGUAAAGAAAAUAAGAGUUAGAAGGUAAAAUAGUGCACAGGUGUUACUGCAGUGUUGAAGGGCACACUGCUGUGGACAAAAACACUGCUGCCUAGGCAUGAACGCUUUCUUGCUCGUCUUCGCUCGUGGAUAUCAUGGGACUCAACGACGCCUCCAGUUCUCUGUGAAGUUUAUACCGCAGAAACAUGUUGAGUACAUACCAAUGAGACAUGCUUUACAGCAGAUGGACAACAAGUUGCAUAGCCAGGGGACCAGCUAACCUUGGAGAGAAAAAUUAACAUUACCUGCAAGUCGUCAUUGUGCUAUCAGAGAUGGUUAAACACCUACACUCACUGCCUACAGCAACUCUAAAGGACAGCUGAAGAGAAACAGGAAACAUGGGGUGGAGGGAGCAGAGAAAGACAUGCAGCAAAGCGUCAUGGCAAGAAUCGAACCAGUGGACACUGCGUCAAGGACUAAAGGCUCUGUACAUGGGGCACUUAAACGGCUAGGCCAAAGGGCAUCCCCUUUCAAACCCCUGAUUCUGACAGUUUAGGGUUCAUAUAAAUAUAUUGAGGCAUUUUGAGCAUGUGCUACUUAAUUCCCUGCAUCAUAGUGAAUAUUUUUGUGACCGUUUGUUACAUUCUAGUGUGAACUUGUGUAGCACACUGAUAAUAAAAAUUAAGACACAGCAAGAG